CCCUGUGUCGAAAGUGUGGCCGCGGCUUCCUCGUAGCCGGGUCAUUUAAACUGCAGGGACAUGAACCUGGGAGCCUUUCCCGUGUUUGAAGGACUCGCUGUUCCUCUCAGACCCUGGUCCUCUCAGACA